UGGGGAAUAUUGGACAAUGGGCGGAAGCCUGAUCCAGCCAUGCCGCGUGUGUGAAGAAGGCCUUUUGGUUGUAAAGCACUUUAAGCGAGGAGGAGGCUCUUCUAGUUAAUACCUAGGAUGAGUGGACGUUACUCGCAGAAUAAGCACCGGCUAACUCUGUGCCAGCAGCCGCGGUAAUACAGAGGGUGCGAGCGUUAAUCGGAUUUACUGGGCGUAAAGCGUGCGUAGGCGGCUGAUUAAGUCGGAUGUGAAAUCCCUGAGCUUAACUUAGGAAUUGCAUUCGAUACUGGUCAGCUAGAGUAUGGGAGAGGAUGGUAGAAUUCCAGGUGUAGCGGUGAAAUGCGUAGAGAUCUGGAGGAAUACCGAUGGCGAAGGCAGCCAUCUGGCCUAAUACUGACGCUGAGGUACGAAAGCAUGGAGAGCAAACAGG
rnacentral:rRNA from 1 species